rnacentral:rRNA from 1 species
AUUGAACGCUGGCGGCAGGCCUAACACAUGCAAGUCGAGCGGAUGAGAGGAGCUUGCUUCUCGAUUCAGCGGCGGACGGGUGAGUAAUGCCUAGGAAUCUGCCUGGCAGUGGGGGACAACGUUUCGAAAGGAACGCUAAUACCGCAUACGUCCUACGGGAGAAAGCAGGGGACCUUCGGGCCUUGCGCUAUCAGAUGAGCCUAGGUCGGAUUAGCUAGUUGGUGAGGUAAUGGCUCACCAAGGCGACGAUCCGUAACUGGUCUGAGAGGAUGAUCAGUCGCACUGGAACUGAGACACGGUCCAGACUCCUACGGGAGGCAGCAGUGGGGAAUAUUGGACAAUGGGCGAAAGCCUGAUCCAGCCAUGCCGCGUGUGUGAAGAAGGUCUUCGGAUUGUAAAGCACUUUAAGUUGGGAGGAAGGGUUGUAGAUUAAUACUCUGCAAUUUUGACGUUACCGACAGAAUAAGCACCGGCUAACUCUGUGCCAGCCGCCGCCGUAA